ACUCUUGACAGUGGAUAUCUUGGCUCUCGCAACGAUGAAGAACGCAGCGAAAUGCGAUACGUAGUGUGAAUUGCAGAAUUCAGCGAAUCAUCGAAACUUUGAACGCACAUUGCGCUCGUGUGCUUCGGCACCGAGCAUGCCUCUUUCAGGGUCAUCGACUUACACCUCUCCCCCUUUACAGUACUCCUGUAUCUGCGUGGAAGGAGAAUGGGCGUCCUGACAUAGUCUUCCCUCGAUGGAAGCCACUCUCUGAGUGUCGUCACGUCGCCUCAAGAACAUUGCCAGAGAAUAGUUUUACCCUCGUGUGGCUCGACGCAGUAAGGGCGCUGCAAAGUGCACUCUCGUCGCAGUCCGGUAAACCAAGCUUCAAUGGCGAUAUGGCCCGCAUAUAGUAGGAUGUACGCUGCAAAGUGUGUAUCCGGUCUAAAUGAAGGUCGCUUACCGGUUUGACCUGAAAUGAGGUAGGGCUACCCGCUGAACUUAAGCAUAUAAUUAAGCGGAGGAAAAGAAACUAACAAGGAUUCCCCUAGUAACGGCGAGUGAAGCGGGAAGAGUUCAAGCCUAAAAUCUCCGGUGUUCCACCGGCGAAUUGUAGUCUAUGGGUCAUGUGUGCGUGAGGCACCGGGAGUAAAUUCCUUGGAAUGGGAUCCUACAGAGGGUGAGAGGCCCGUAUGUAUUCCGUGUGCCGAACUUCAGUCAUGCAAGGCCUCAGAGUCGGGUUGCUUGGGAGUGCAGCUCUAAGUGGGAGGUAAAUUUCUUCUAAAACUAAAUACGGGCGAGAGACCGAUAGCGUACAAGUACCGUGAGGGAAAGAUGAAAAGGACUUUGAAAAGAGAGUUAAAAGUGCUUGAAGCUGUCAAGGGCUAACCGCAUGGAAAGAGCGUAUGGUCCUGUGGACACUUAGGGCUGAUGGUGUGCGCUGGCGGCAAGAGUAGGGUCAAACCGCUCGUGCCGAUUGUUGCAUAUCGUCGGUUUGCACUUGUCUGCUUGACCGGUCAAGCUGGCUUCUAUGCCGGUGGGAGAAUGGCUAAAGUGCGCGGCGCUAGCUUGCUGGCGUCGGUCUUGGCUGAUACCGCCGGAAGGAGUGAGGAAUCAAGCGUUGCCAUCGCCGCUGCGGUCGGCUGUUUUGGUGUAUCGUGUAGCACUGCCUCUGGUAUGUGUUGCGUGGUACAUCGAAGCACUCCGGCUGAACAGGGACUUGCUCGCUGAGGAGCUUGACUUGAUCUUUCCAUUCGACCCGUCUUGAAACACGGACCAAGGAGUCUAACAUAUAUGCGAGUGUUUGGGUGGCAAACCCAUGCGCGGAAUGAAAGUAAUAGGUGGGAUCCCGUCUGGGUGCACCAUCGACCGACCAUGAUCCUUGUGUGAAAGGUUUGAGUAAGAGCAUAUCUGUUGGGACCCGAAAGAUGGUGAACUAUGCCUGAGCAGGGCGAAGCCAGGGGAAACUCUGGUGGAGGCUCGCAGCGAUACUGACGUGCAAAUCGUUCGUCAAACUUAGGUAUAGGGGCGAAAGACUAAUCGAACCAUCUAGUAGCUGGUUCCCUCCGAAGUUUCCCUCAGGAUAGCUGGAACUUGUCGAGUUGUAUCAGGUAAAGCGAAUGAUUAGAGGCCUUGGGGUUGCAACAACCUUAACCUAUUCUCAAACUUUAAAUAGGUACGAUGCGUGAGUUUCUCAAGUGAACCCACGCGAUCAAUCGUAGUUCCAAGUGGGCCAUUUUUGGUAAGCAGAACUGGCGAUGCGGGAUGAACCGAUAGCUGAGUUAAGGCGCCUAACUGCACGCUCAUGUAGAUACCACAAAAGGUGUUGAUUCAUCCAGACAGCAGGACGGUGGUCAUGGAAGUCGAAAUCCGCUAAGGAGUGUGUAACAACUCACCUGCCGAAUGAAUCAGCCCUGAAAAAGGAUGGCGCUCAAGCGUGCGGCCUACACUCGGCCGUUGAAGCAGAUGCGAGGCUUCAACGAGUAGGAGGGCGUGGGGUUCGCAGCAAAGCCUUUGGAGUGAUCCAAGGUGGAGCGGACUCUAGUGCAGAUCUUGGUGUUAGUAGCAAAUAUUCAAAUGAGAACUUUGAAGACUGAAGUGGAGAAAGGUUCCAUGUGAACAGCAGUUGGACAUGGGUUAGUCGAUCCUAAGCGCUCUCCUAACGGAUAAGUAUGAGGCAUUUGCCUCGUCGCGCGAAAGGGUAUCGGGUUAAUAUUCCCGAACCGAGAUGUGGAAAUUUCAGUGGCAACACAACAGAACCUGGAGACGUCGGCGGGAGCCCUGGGAAGAGUUCUCUUUUCUUUUUAACUGUCUAUUACCCUGAAAUCAGAUUGGCUGGAGCUAGGGUUAAAUGACAGGGAAAGCACUUUAAGUCUUGAAGUGUCCGGUGCGCUUUCGACGGCCCUUGAAAAUCCAGGGGAUAGACAUUCUCACACUCGCUCGUACUCAUAACCGCAUCAGGUCUCCAAGGUGAGCAGCCUCUAGUCGAUAGAACAAUGUAGGUAAGGGAAGUCGGCAAAAUAGAUCCGUAACUUCGGGAAAAGGAUUGGCUCUAAGGGUUGGGUGUUGGGGACUGUAAUCUGAAUUCUGGCUGCGACGAUGGAGGCCGCAAGGAAGCUAUUGUUGCGCCGGUUGGAGGGUUGCAGGGCGACUUCGGUCCGCUCCCAGCACGAUGAACAACUAACUUAGAACUGUAACGGACAAGGGGAAUCCGACUGUUUAAUUAAAACAAAGCAUUGCGAUGGUCCUAACGGAUGUUGACGCAAUGUGAUUUCUGCCCAGUGCUCUGAAUGUCAAAGUGACGAGAUUCAACCAAGCGCGGGUAAACGGCGGGAGUAACUAUGACUCUCUUAAGGUAGCCAAAUGCCUCGUCAUCUAAUUAGUGACGCGCAUGAAUGGAUUAACGAGAUUCCCACUGUCCCUAUCUACUAUC
rnacentral:rRNA from 1 species